UACGGAGGGUGCAAGCAUUAAUCGGAUUUAUUGGGCAUAAAGGGCGCGUAGGCGGGCCGGCAAGUCAGAUGUGAAAUCCCGAGGCUCAACCUCGGAACAGCAUUUGAAACUGCCAGCCUUGAGGGUAGGCGGAGAAAACGGAAUUCCACAAGUAGCGGUGAAAUGCGUAGAUAUGUGGAAGAACAUCGGUGGCGAAGGCGGUUUUCUAGCUUAUUUCCUGACGCUGAGGCGCGAAAGCAAGGGGAUCAAACAGG
rnacentral:rRNA from 1 species